AGUAACACGUAAGUAAUCUACCUUCGAGUGGGGAAUAACGUCCGGAAACGGACGCUAAUACCGGCAUAAUGCAGCGGCAUCGCAAGAUGACAGUUGUUAAAGGAGCAAUUCGCUUGAAGAGGAGCUUGCGGCAGAUUAGCUAGUUGGUAAGGUAAUGGCUUACCAAGGCUACGAUCUGUAACCGGUCUAAGAGGACGGUCGGUCACACUGACACUGAAUAACGGGUCAG
rnacentral:rRNA from 1 species